UUUAUGUUGGCCUAGUGGUAAGAGCGUCCGCCUCGAAUGUGGGAGGACGUUGCUUAAAUUCUCGGUCGAGUAAUACCAAAG